AUUGAACGCUGGCGGCAGGCCUAAAACAUGCAAGUCGAACGAGUGGCGGAGGGGUGAGUAAUGUCUGGGAAACUGACUGAUGGAGGGGGAUAACUAAUGGAAAAGGUAGCUAAUACCGCAUACCAUCGGAUGUGCCCAGAUGGGAUUAGCUAGUAGGUGGGGUAAAGGCUCACCUAGGCGACGAUCCCUAGCUGGUCUGAGAGGAUGACCAGCCACACUGGAACUGAGACACGUUCCAGACUCCUACGGGAGGCAGCAGUGGGGAAUAUUGCACAAUGGGCGCAAGCCUGAUGCAGCCAUGCCGCGUGUAUGAAGAAGGCCUUCGGGUUGUAAAGUACUUUCAGCGGUGAGGCGUUACCCGCAGAAGAAGCACCGGCUAACUCCGUGCCAGCAGCCGCGGUAAAC
rnacentral:rRNA from 1 species